CGAAGCGCACGAAAAGUGUAACGACUGGGGGACUGUCUCAACGAGGAGCCCGGUGAAAAUACAAUACCGGUGAAGAUGCCGGUUACCUGUAGUUAGACGAAAAGACCCCGGGAGCUUUACUGUAGCUUGAUAUUGGGUUUAGCUUAUUUGUGCGUAGCAUAGAUGGGAGGCGUUGAUGUUUUGGUUCCGGCCAAAAUGGAGCCGUCAGUGAAAUACCAUUCUCAAAUGCGUUAAAUUCUAACCGAUCCGAAACCUAAAAAAGGAAAGCGGAUUGGGACAGUGUCUGGCGGGCAGUUUGUGUGGGGCACAUUCCUUAAGGCGAUUGACAAAGACUUCUGUCAAUCGCAGGGGGACAUCAUGCUUUUUAAGUAUGAUGAAAAAUUCGGCUAUAUGCUGGAACAGCCGUGUAUCUGGUGCUACCGAAUGCGAAAUGUGUAUCGCAAAAUACUCACUUUUUUCAUUCCCGCGAAAGCGGGAAUCCAGACCCUUUUGUAUAAAAAAAGAGAAUCUGGAUCCCCGAUCAAGUCGGGGAUGACAAGAAGACUUGCGAUAUAGAUUCCGCAUUCGGUGAAAAUGCAUCCAGUGCGGCCAAUCAGCAGGGAAGAAUAAAAGACAUUAAAUGGAGGAAUUCAAAUUAUGAAGUGGCGCAUGUUGUAUAUGUUGAAUAGAGAUGGUGAAUGCAGCGAAGGAUAUAUUGAAACAAAAACGGUAGCAGAAGCAAUACAACAAUAUCAUGCUCUCAAAGUUAGACUGAGAUCAAUGAAUCCCGAUGGCAAUUUGAUCAGUCUUAAAAGAAUAGAUCAGAAUCAAGAAAGGAUCAUAACAAAAAUUUCUUAAUGUUAAAGAUUCCCCUCAGAGACUAUACGCCGAACCUGAAAAAGUAGGCGAGUAAAUGAUUACUCGCCUACACAAAAUUUUUCAGUGAUGAUAUAGUCCGAUCUUCAUGGCGACAUGAAGAGCACGGCAGAAAUGUUCGUGCCGCGUAAUAAUUACGUAGUAACAAUUUGCCUAAAAGGUAAUGGAGGAGUCUAUUAAGGUCGGCUUGGCUCCAAUGGAAACGGAGCUGAAAGUGUAAAGGCAUAAGCCGGCUUGACUGCAAGACGGAUAGGUCGCGCAGGUGCGAAAGCAGAGCUUAGUGAACCGAUGGUACUUGCUAGAACAAGGCCAAAGAUCAUCAGAUAAAAGCUACCCCGGGGAUAACAGGCUAGUUCCGCCCAAGCGUCCACAGCGACGGCGGAGUUCGGCACCUCGAUGUCGGCUCAACUUAUCCUGGGACUGGAGAAAACAUAUCUUCUCUCUCUCGUGGAAAUGCGAGAGUAAUUAAACGAGCUCAAAACGGUGAAGGUCCACCCAUGAAUGGGAUUUGUAAGUUUCGCAAGUCCCAAGUAGAAUAUAUUCAUGGAGACUAACGCCGUAGGAAAGAUAUUUUCAGAAGUCGAUCGGGCAUAUACAGCGGGUUUUCUGGAUGCUGACGGAGCCAUCAUGGCUGCCAUUGAAAAGCAUUCAGGAAAAAAAUUUCGCUUCAGAGUAAGAAUUAUUGUUAAAAUUACCCAACGUGAUAGGGCAAUCCUUGAUUGGUUUCUAUCACGAUUUGAAAUUGGCUCUAUUCGAAAAAAUAGAACCGCCUUUGACUGGAUAAUUAAGAAUCAGGAGACAAUAAAAUGUUUCUUAGAUAUCAUAAUUCCUUACUUGAGAGUAAAAAAACAACAAGCGACCUUAGCAAGAAUAAUUCUUGGUAAACAGGUGGCUACCCGUAACGAUUUGUUGCAUAUUGCUCAAUUGGCGGAUUCAUUGUCUCGGUUGAAUGUGCGAUCCAAGAAUCGCCGUAAAAACUUCGCUUCAAUGAUCAAAGAAAAUAUCUCCUCUAACGACUGAUCAAUGUCAUUUUGGUGACAUUGUGAGAUAGGAUCUAAAAAAAUUCUAUCAUACGGCUCGCACCUAAAUUCUAGUCAGUGAUGACUAUGAAUAUGGUGAUGGAAUAGUCUGACACCUCUCGUAAGAGAGGAAAACAGAAAGAGGCCCCAAGGGUUCGGCUGUUCGCCGAUUAAAAAGUUACGUGAGCUGGGUUCAAACCGUCAAAAUGAACCUUAAAACAUUCGCAAAGCGAAUGUUCGGGCGAUCAUUUUGCGAAAGCAAAAUGAUUUAGCCAAAGACAUCGAGCAUACACACGGCGGCUUUCGCGAGCAAUCGCGAGAUGCAAAAGUUGACUCAUAUCGGUGAAUUCCUUCUGAAUUCCCAACCUGGAUUCAGAGGAUAAUACCGAGGGAAGUCUAUAGAAAUUAAAAAUUAAAAAAUCAAAAUGAAAAAUUAAGGUAUCGCUUCGUGAUAAUUAUAACCUUGACUUUUUCAUUUUACAUUUUUAAUUUAUAUAUGACCCCGUAGAGACUUGGCCUUUAUGGCCAGAGUCGUCCAAUUAUGGACGGCUAACACGUCAACCCCCUUUAGUAAUAAAGGGUGAUAGUAUAGUCCACCCAAUUAGUAAUAGUUGAAUUAUUGCGUGAGACAGGUUGGUCUCCUAUCUACUACAGGCGUUGAUACUUGAGAGGGCUCGAUCCUAGUACGAGAGGACCGGAUUGAACGAACCUCUGGUCUACCAGCUGUUGCGCCCGCAGCAUCGCUGGGUAGCUAUGUUCGGUUGAGAUAAGCGCUGAAAGCAUCUAAGCGCGAAACUCGCCUCAAGAUUAGGUAUCAUAGAUUCCUAGAAGAUGACUAGGUUGAUAGGCUGCAGGUGUACGCACAGCAAUGUGUUUAGCCGAGCAGUACUAAUAAAUCGUUCCCCCGCCACC
rnacentral:rRNA from 1 species